rnacentral:lncRNA from 12 species
CUUUAGGUGGUCAAAGAGGUUCUCAGGUGGUCAAAGAGGUUCUCAGGUGGUCAAGGAGCUCUUCAGGUGGCCAAAGAGGAGCUUUUGGUGGCCCAGAAGGUUCUCAGGUGGUCAAAGUGGUGGUCAAGUGGUCAAGGAGGAGCUUUAGGUGGCCAAGGAGGUCCUCAGGUGGUCAAGGAGUUUCUCAAGUGGCCCAAGAGGUCCCCAGGUGGUCAAAGUGGUGGUCAAGUGGUCAAGGAGGAGCUUUAGGUGGCCCAGGAGGUUCUCAGG